GUGCCUUCCAAACAAAAACCAUUCUAUAGUUCUAUAAUCUUAUGAUCAGAUUUGUAUUGAGAAGAAAAUUUUUCACCCAAAUGCAAUUUAGGCCAUUGGAUUUUGGGUGAAAAAGGAAAGUGGGAGGCAUUCGCUCUCCUCUGCAAGAUGGAACAUGAUUUGCUUUGUAAAAUGAAUGUGAGUAUUUUGCGACAGUAACUGCUGGAGUGGACCUUGGCCAUUUGGCCUUUGGCCUGGAGUAAUACAAACCUGAAGUUUGUUUUGGGGUGUAUUAAUAUAUGUGAGUGGAAGAAGGAAGGUCAUUGGAUCUUUCUGGAUUUCAUAGCUAUGGCAUAAACUUACUGGGAUAGAAAAGAAUGUGAAUAGUUCAUCUGGCCCAUUCUGUGAUUUUACUACCAUAAAGCAAUAUGCAGUCUCCUUAUCUAUUUCUGGUAAAUAUCCCAGGUAUGCAAACAUUUUCAGGGAGAGAAUUUUAUGAUCUCCUCAGGCAUCUCUUCUAGUGCUCCACUUUCCUUAGCAUAGGACGGUUUUCUGUUGCCUCCAAUUAGAAACUCCUUAGAUGCAGUUUAACCCCAUGACUUCUUGCUGUAUCCAUGUAGAGAAUGGAUCUUUCCCUUUUUACCAUAGAAUUUAUGUAUUUUGAAGACUGUGAGCAUGUGUACCUUCAGUCUUCUCUCUUUUUUACAGCUAACCAAGUUCUUAAUCUGUUCAAUUUUUUAUCAUCAGUAAUUUUUUCUAGUUUCCUUCAUGAGACCCUGGGAGACUGCAGUCCCUGACCCCUUCUCAUUUUCAGGCCUACGUAUCUGUUUAAGGAAUGUCGGGAGAAAGAGGCAAGUAGUGAUGUCAACAUUUCCUCAUAGUCCUUUUUUCUUUUUUUUCUCCUAAACAACCAUGCUGAAUGAACAACAUUAGUGUCAGAUAAAAUUUACAGCCUCUAGGGAAGGAGUACACACUGCAGAAGAAGAUGGAUGGAUGGUGCUGAAGUGGUGACACCAGCUCAAGAGAGGGACAUAGGGACAGCUGGCUGCUAAAUGGAUUUGUGCAGCUCCAAUGAAAAACUAAAACCCCAGCAAAACCCUGACUUUAGGAUGAUUAAGGAAAGGGGAUGCUGAAUGAUGAACAAUAAAAUGUUACUGUAAAUGACACUCAUUGGCAAUUAUGGUUUGUUGCAGCACCUCAACUCCAGAGUUUCACAGAGAUGGCUGCUAAAGCUGGGUAAACUGAGGCACAGCGAAACUGCGAAACAGGUGAAUGACUUGAAGUUUAGACAAGGUGGAACUGGAAAUCCUCUCCCGGUGUUGACACUGCUGCUUCCUGGCCAGUCUUUAGAAAUCCUUCUGGUUUCAGGAUAGUGGUACAUGAUACCAUGGUUGGUUUGUGUUUUUUUUUUUGUUGUUGCUAAGAACACAUUCUGCACAAGGGUCUGUCUAUAAUGCUGUGUAGGUUUCAGCUGAAUCAUCUUUGAUAAAAAUCUAUUUUAAAUGUUAUGGUCAAGACUAGUGAAGCUUUUCAGUUUUUAAAUGUGUUUCAUGUCAAAAAUCCCUCUUAAAUAAUUAGCAAGUGCUGUAAGCAUUACUGCAUCUUUUAUAUUUCAUCUGCUUGGAAGAAAUGGACAGUUCUGUUGCUACAGUUUAACUGCAAUUUAUUUUGUGAUAACCCUCACUGCUGGAAGAGAGAUUUCAUAGUUCGUUUGCUGUACAUCUGAUUAUUCAAAGAAUGGGGAUGGACAGAAAAUGUGUUUAACCGCAACUUUUCUUCUACUUCAAGUUCCAGCAGACAUUUGAGUUUAUAAAGAAAAAAUCUGCACAAGCUGAGAAUUUGAAAACCAGAGAGUGAGUGGUUCGACAGCACCGAGGAUUGCCGUGCUGGCUCUUAUUUUCUUGGCUUGCAUUGGCUAUGAUGGUUUAUUUAUUUUACCUUUGACAUAGCCUUAGUCCACAUUUCAGUGUAAAUUUUUCUCAGGUGGCAAAAAAAGAAAAUCACUGCAGCUGCUACUGCAUGAAUUAGUCUUAGGUACCAGUGGGCACUCCUUGUGUUUAAAAUGAAGAAUUUGGCACAAAAAGCUGUACAGACUUAACCUUUUCUUCACAGAAAUGGAUUUACAAAUGAUUCCUUUCAUGAAAUAAAAGAUAAGUUCAUCUUUUAAUUAAUUUUGAUGAUCAGGUCUUUGUUCCUAAGGUUCUUUGAAGAAUAGUUUAUGUCAGAAGCACGUCCCUGGCUCUGCUGUGGGCAAUUCUGUACACCUAGGUGCUACACCAUCAGGCCUUGCAAGCUACACAGGGUGGUAACUGUCACUUCUGUUUUCCUAGAGAGUUGUUUUGUCCUGCCUUCAAGACAAAGUUUUGUAAUUGGCAGCCAUUCCUGAAGGAAUAAAAUGCUUCAAUCUUUAUGUGUGUUGGACCUAACAGCCCUCCUGGCAGUCAGCGGGAGGCUUCAGUAUGCCAAAGAAAAUGCAGAUGUGGGCUCUUCAGCCUGAAGAGAUUGCCCUAGAUUAGAGAGUACAGACAAAUGUUGAUUAACUAAAUGUGCCUACAACACACAAAAGUUCUCCUAGAGUAUGAACUAACUUCCAAGCUUUCUCCUCUGGUGUAGCACCAGUAGCUCAGAGCUCUCAACAGUCCUCUGUUCAAUUUCACAGCCAAUGCAUAGGAAGCAGAUAUAGUUUGUUUUCUAAGAUAUGUGAUAUAGAAGGCCACAUCAGCUUCUUCCACAGUUUGCCUAGUGAGCAUUUGCAACAGGCAUCUUGUGAAGCCUUUGGAAAAAGUCUCUUCCAGCUUGCCAGAGACAAACAUGUAGGAUGCUGGUGACUGGGAUUAUAAAGAGGAUGGUUGCACUAGUACUCAGUGGUCAGUUAAGGGCCGGAUCAGGCUAACGAGGAUUGCAGGGAAAAGAUCAAGAACUUGAAUAAAGCUAGUUCUCCGUUCUGGCAAUCAAACAGGGGAAAUGUGUGUUUUCUUGCAGCCCUGCUGAGGCUUGUAAAAGUUCUUCCAUCUCUAAAAUGUUACUAAGACUGAUGCCAAUGAAAAUAACACACAGCAACAUUUUUAACUUUUAUGCCACUUGUUUGCAAUUCAAGUAUGGUAAACUCCUGUGUGCUGAUGUGUAGGGAGCAGAAUAGAACAGACCAAUCUAUGAAGUCUGAAGGGAUUAUUUACCAUCACUGAGACUCAAAGGAUUUUUAAAUGUUAUUGAUCAGUAUUCCCAAAAUGGACUGAAUUGUAGCUUUCCUGUUGUGAUAAAGCUGUAUGACUAACAUUUUGAUUAUUUUGUCUGUUGGUAGCUUGGGACCACAUCUCAAAAGGCAGGGGACACCAAAGAAGGCAAUAAGAAUGUGUUCAAAAUAGCCCAGGGAGGCAUUUUAUGUAUUAUUUCCUAGUCCUGAAGAACAGCCUCUUCAGUAGCUAGCAUGAAAUUUUAAGUCUGGAGAUGACUGUUCCAGUAAAUACCAGCAUGACAUUAAAUGGUAAAUAAAAUAAAGAUUGUUAAGCAGAAGAUGGCAAGUCAGCUGCUGCUCAAAAAAAGAAAUGAAGCUCUGCAUGGUGUCCUCAAAAAAAUGAGAGCCAGGAAGAAGUUGUCAUCUGCAACAGAGAGCUGAGGGCACAUGUUACUCUUUAAUAUAGGUUACAAUACAGGGCAAGAUGAAUGAUCAGAGGUGUGGAACUUUUCCAUAUGAGGAAUGAAAAGUAAGCAGACUAAGAUGUUUCUGUUUGGAGAAAGGGUAACUGAGGGGCUACUAUGAAAUAAACCUAUGAAAAUGGUGACUGGUAUUAGGCAGACAGGGAGCAAUCAUGUACAGCUUCUCACAACAAAAGAACUGAGUGGAGUCUAUAAAAUUCUCAUUUGGUAGGUUCAAAACACAAGGAAGUAACUUCUCCUGUAAUGUACAAUUGGAUGUAGAAUACAUGUACUGUUAUGGUAACAAAAAUGGGCAUGGGUUAAAAAAGGAGUCAGAGCAAUCUGAGGGGCCUAUCAAAGACUAUUAUAUGGUCUAGAAAGAAAUCCCCGGCUUGGUAUUAUUGGGAGCUACAGAAUAUGCCCUAGAAAGAAUCAAUUUAGGUAUCUAGUAAGCUUUUCAUAAGCACCCACAAUUAGCCACUGUGGGAAAGAGGGAACCCAGCUACAAAGACCCUUGGUCUAUCCAAGUACAGACAUCUCAGCUUUCACUUUUCAAACAGAAUAAAUGAAUUUAAUGAGACUUUUAAUAUAAACCACAUAAUGUGAGGUUAGCACAGGUAAAGGAAAUUUCAGAUAUUAUAUUCAGCUCCAUAUU